CCAGACUCCUACGGGAGGCAGCAGUGGGGAAUAUUGCACAAUGGGGGGAACCCUGAUGCAGCGACGCCGCGUGGGUGAAGGAGCACCUCGGUGCGUAAAGCCCUAUCGGCAGGGAAGAAAAAGACGGUACCUGACUAAGAAGCCCCGGCUAACUACGUGCCAGCAGCCGCGGUAAUACGUAGGGGGCAAGCGUUAUCCGGAUUCACUGGGUGUAAAGGGAGCGUAGACGGCGGCGCAAGUCUGGAGUGAAAGGCCGGGGCGCAACCCCGGGACUGCUCUGGAAACUGCGUCGCUGGAGUGCAGGAGGGGCAGGCGGAAUUCCUGGUGUAGCGGUGAAAUGCGUAGAUAUCAGGAGGAACACCGGCGGCGAAGGCGGCCUGCUGGACCGUGACUGACGUUGAGGCUCGAGAGCGUGGGGAGCAAACAGGAUUAGAUACCCCCGUAUG
rnacentral:rRNA from 1 species